GAUGAACGCUAGCGGCAGGCCUAACACAUGCAAGUCGAGGGGUAGAACACUUCGGUGUUUGAGACCGGCGCACGGGUGCGUAACGCGUAUGCAAUCUGCCUUACACUAAGGGAUAGCCCAGAGAAAUUUGGAUUAAUACCUUAUAGUAUAUUGAUGUGGCAUCACAUUAUUAUUAAAGAUUUAUUGGUGUAAGAUGAGCAUGCGUCCCAUUAGCUAGUUGGUAUGGUAACGGCAUACCAAGGCGAUGAUGGGUAGGGGUCCUGAGAGGGAGAUCCCCCACACUGGUACUGAGACACGGACCAGACUCCUACGGGAGGCAGCAGUGAGGAAUAUUGGUCAAUGGUCGCAAGACUGAACCAGCCAUGCCGCGUGCAGGAUGAAGCAUCUAUGGUGUGUAAACUGCUUUUGUACGGGAAGAAACACCUCUUCGUGAAGAGGCUUGACGGUACCGUAAGAAUAAGGAUCGGCUAACUCCGUGCCAGCCGCCGCCGUAG
rnacentral:rRNA from 1 species